rnacentral:sRNA from 1 species
GCCAGGAGUGGUGGUGCAUGCCUGUAAUCUCAGUGGCUUGGGAGGCUGAGGAAGGAGGAUCACAAGUUCAAAGCGAGCCUCAGCAACUUAGCAAGGCCCUAAGCAACUUAGUGAGAUCCUGUCUCUA